UCGGACGUGGUGUACGGCGCACACCCGCUCUCCUUGAUGAGACGGUAGAGGAAUCGUCGAGGCGGGAGCCCUGGGUUCGACUCCCAGCGUCCGAA